ACGGGGAGCAGCAGGCGCGAAACCUCUGCAAUAGGCGAAAGCUUGACAGGGUUACUCUGAGUGAUUUCCGUUAAGGAGAUCUUUUGGCACCUCUAAAAAUGGUGCAGAAUAAGGGGUGGGCAAGUCUGGUGUCAGCCGCCGCGGUAAUACCAGCACCCCGAGUGGUCGGGACAUUUAUUGGGCCUAAAGCAUCCGUAGCCGGUUCUACAAGUCUUCCGUUAAAUCCACCUGCUUAACAGAUGGGCUGCGGAAGAUACUAUAGAGCUAGGAGGCGGGAGAGGCAAGCGGUACUCGAUGGGUAGGGGUAAAAUCCGUUGAUCCAUUGAAGACCACCAGUGGCGAAGGCGGCUUGCCAGAACGCGCUCGACGGUGAGGGAUGAAAGCUAGGGUCUCGAACCGGAUUAGAUACCCGGGUAGUCCUAGCUGUAAACGAUGCCCGCUAGGUGUGGCGCAGGCUACGAGCCUACGCUGUGCCGUAGGGAAGCCGUGAAGCGGGCCGCCUGGGAAGUACGUCUGCAAGGAUGAAACUUAAAGGAAUUGGCGGGGGAGCAC
rnacentral:rRNA from 1 species